AAAUAACUUAAAAUGAAUGCAAUAGAAUAGUAGAUACGUUAUUUUACCUUGGCUAUAAAUUUACAGGUUUUAAAAAUAUUUUGAUAAUUGAAGAAAAUUCAUUUAGAGAGAAAUUUAAUUUUAAAAAGAUUAAGAAAUGGAAAGGAUUACAAGAGACCAGUUAGAAUGUGCACGCAACAUAAUAAUAGAACUUCAAAGUUGCCCCACAUGUCACCAAAGAGAUUCUGCUUGCUUUGUGAACAGACCAUGUCUUCACAUCACUUACUGUGUCUCAUGCUGCAACGGGGAAAAAAAUGCAAGAUUUGUCUCAAAGAUGCAAAAUUUCAAACAUCUUUUGAUCUGUUUCAUCAAGAGACACAAGAACAAGAAGACGUCGCUCUCAACGUGUGACAUAGAUGUAUAUCAAGUCAACAUGCGCAAUAUUUUAAGAUUUUUACUUUAUUAACUACGCUGUAUAGUAUUCUUUUAAUCCUACUUAACUUAAAUGCAUAUAUGAUUUGGUAAGUUAGUAAUUGUUGGUAGUGGAAACAUACAUUUUUUUGUUACUUUAUUUUGGUUUACAAAUUAAAAUGUAAAUUUCGACACUUAUUAAACACUAAAUGAAAUGAGAUAAUUUUUACAUUAGUUUGAUCUUAAAAUAAUAACAAUAAAGAAUAUAACACUCUUUCAUAAUCUAAACUUUAACAUGAUGCGAUCAUGUGUACCAAUUGCUCUGUAUUGCUGAAACAAAGUGAAUUUGUACCAAGAAAAUAUUUUUUUUUUAAAGAAUAUUAAAUCUGUUUUUCUUAUAUGUUUCAUUUAAGUUUUUUAGAUUGAAAUAUUAUUACAUCCGAACCCAAACCUUCAGCAGGAAGUCGUGGUAUGGCAUUGGGAAGGUUUCGAGCUUGGACUAUCUAGAGUCCUAAACCAGAGUUCAGAGCGCCUAUCACAAAACCAGGCAGUUAUUUUUUAAAAAAAUAUUGGUAAAUAUUAAGAAUUGCUCUCACAGGGAUGUCAAUGAUAACAGCAUUAUCUUUAAAAAACAACAACCGAGAGAGGAAUUCGAAACAAUAACGUCGUUUUGCCCCAAGAACUUUCCUACUACAAUCAAAGCAAAAAAGACAAAUAAAUAAAACAAUAUAGA